rnacentral:misc_RNA from 1 species
UGUAGGAGCUGGCUUGCCAGCGAUGCAGGCACCUCGGUAUGCCAGAUACACCGAGGUGAUGCGAUCGCCGGCAAGCCAGCUCCUACA